GGAGCUCGAUUCAUGUCGUGGUGGUGGCGUAACGUGCAGCCCGCCCCCAAGGAUCCUAUUCUUGGUGUUACGGAGGCUUUUUAGGCCGAUCCCAACCCCGAUAAAGUCAAUGUUGGAGUCGGUGCUUACCGUGAUGAUAAUGGGAAGCCGGUUGUUUUGGAAUGUGUCAGAGAAGCCGAGCGACGAAUUGCUGGGAAUUUGAACAUGGAAUAUCUUCCUAUGGGAGGAAGUGUGAAGAUGGUGGAAGAAACACUGAAGUUGGUCUAUGGUGAGAAUUCUGAGUUGAUAAAAGACAGAAGGAUAGCAGCAGUGCAAGCACUCUC